rnacentral:rRNA from 1 species
CCCGCUGAACUUAAGCAUAUCACUAAGCGGAGGAAAAGAAAUUAACUAAGAUUGCCUCAGUAACGGCGAGUGAAGCGGCAAAAGCCCAAACUGGAAAUCCCCGUGUUCCGCACGGAGAAUUGUAAUCUACAGGUGGGAAGCUCAAUUGGCUGUGGCGCAGAAGUGCCUUAGAACGGGCCGCCAAAGAGGGUGACAGCCCCGUAUGUGGUGCCAUCGCCUAACGAGCUCCUUUCAAAGAGUCGGGUUGUUUUGAAUUGCAGCCCUAAGCUGGGAGAUAGACUUCUUCUAAGGCUAAAUAUUUAUGGGAAACCGAUAGCGAACAAGUACUGUGAAGGAAAGAUGAAAAGAACUUUGAAAAGAGAGUCAAAAGACUUGAAAUCGUUGAGAAGGAAGCGGUAGAAAUUUAUUCUUCUGGUGCGAACAAAGGUGUCCGCCUAACCAUUGGAGUGUGGCUGCACUUUCAAAAGGCAGCUUUCUCCACCUGGGGAAGCGGUAGCUGGGUUCUCACCGUGAGGCAAAAUGGGGUGUCGUUCCCUCAAAAGCUGACUAGACCUGGGAGGUUUCGAUCUUCAGUCUUAUUGUGCUGGAGGGCACGGCGCCUGAGGAAGCCUUGUGCGAUUUUGCCAAAAUGGUUUUUACCGACCCGUCUUGAAACACGG